rnacentral:rRNA from 1 species
UACGGGGGGGAGCAAGCGUUGUUCGGAUUUACUGGGCGUAAAGGGCGCGUAGGCGGUCAGCACAAGUCAGUUGUGAAAUCUCCGGGCUUAACUCGGAAAGGUCAACUGAUACUGUGCGACUAGAGUGCAGAAGGGGCAACUGGAAUUCUCGGUGUAGCGGUGAAAUGCGUAGAUAUCGAGAGGAACACCUGCGGCGAAGGCGGUUCUCUGGGACGGUACUGACGCUGAGACGCGAAAGCGUGGGGAGCGAACAGG